rnacentral:lncRNA from 1 species
UCGUCUGCGGAUAUUUAGGUGCUAACUCCAUCCAACUCGCCUAACUUGCCUGAUUUGCCUAACCGCUCGCUAGAAUCUCAGCGACAAUCCACGAUUCUAGCGGGCUGGGGGGCUAACUAUUGGGGUCAAAAACGGUCAUGACGAAGUUAACAUCCAAAUAUCCUUAAAACGGGUAAAAACACUUCUCGGAAAAUAAUUUUUGUAAAGAAACCCUGGCGGAAAUAUUUUCACGAUGAAAUUCUUAAAAAGCUUCAAUCGAGCCAC